rnacentral:lncRNA from 1 species
GACCUGUGAAAGCAAUAACACUAAUUGUAUUUUGGUUACAUAUUCAAAUGAGCAAUAACAAUAAACUUACCUACUUACUAGUACAUUUGGGAGUCUAUACGGAUAUUCCCCUACGCGUGAACCCAGUAUCCAAUUUUUUGAUUGAUCGAUCAUCCUCAUACCUCGUCCGCUAAUGGACACCAAACAUACCACCGCCUUAAUACCCCGUUCGGUAUGAGGGUGAACGGUACCUCCCAACCCUUUCUGUUAUGGGACUUCUCAGCCUCUUCGACUGAGAUAAUAUCCGCGGUAGGAUUUUUCCUAUAUACCGAGUCCGUACACUCUUUUCCAAGGUACCCGAUAAGCCUUUCAUCCAUAAGUUCACAUCAUCAACCAAUGACACAUCACACAUCGACAUCUCACUUUUUCUAAUCAACAGUAAAUCAUAUAAAUAGACAACGCGUAAAUUAAGAAAAACAUGAUUAUAACAUUUAUUUCAAUCAAUAGGCAAAUAAGAGAAAUAAUCAGGUAAUCAAUAUCGAAAGGACAAUAAAU